rnacentral:lncRNA from 1 species
CGUUUCGACGAGAGCAUCCACUCGGACUCCAGCCGAGAAAGCAGCCGUGCUACCAUCGGUUCCGUCAGCGGUGCCAGCCCACGGCUUCGUGACUCCCCUUUCCGGCGAAGCCUUCGACUCGACGUUUCGCAGCCAUGUCUGAAAUGAGCAUGGUCUCAGAUUCUACCGCUAGCUUCGGUACCGACCGGCCUGAAGACGAG